rnacentral:rRNA from 1 species
UACGUAGGGUGCAAGCGUUGUCCGGAAUUAUUGGGCGUAAAGAGCUCGUAGGCGGUCUGUCGCGUCGGCUGUGAAAUCCCGGGGCUCAACCCCGGGCCUGCAGUCGAUACGGGCAGACUAGAGUGCGGUAGGGGAGAACGGAAUUCCCGGUGUAGCGGUGAAAUGCGCAGAUAUCGGGAGGAACACCGGUGGCGAAGGCGGUUCUCUGGGCCUGUACUGACGCUGAGGAGCGAAAGCGUGGGGAGCGAACAGG